rnacentral:rRNA from 1 species
UACGUAGGACCAAGCGUUGUUCGGAUUUACUGGGCGUAAAGGGCGCGUAGGCGGCGCGGUAAGUCACUUGUGAAAUCUCUGAGCUUAACUCAGAACGGCCAAGUGAUACUGCAGUGCUAGAGUGUGGAAGGGGCAAUCGGAAUUCUUGGUGUAGCGGUGAAAUGCGCAGAUAUCAGGAGGAACACCGGUGGCGAAGGCGGAUCUCUGGGCCUUACCUGACGCUGAAGAGCGAAAGUGUGGGGAGCGAACAGG